rnacentral:sRNA from 1 species
AAGCUAGGAUCUGCCUUCAGCAGCUGUCGCCCCAUCCACAGGGCUGAUCUGGCUGGCAUGAUCUGGCUGGCAUGGCUGUUCUCUUCCCCCUCCCUUCCUCAUGUGCAUCCCUCCCAAAGCUACACAGUCCAUGCUUCUGGUGGAAAGGACGACGUCUCCUGUCUUCAGUCAAGGGUUGAAGGGUAUAUGAAUAGCUACACUCCCUACUACAACCACCAAACAAAGUUGAAGAAGAGGGAGAAGGAGGAGGAGGAAGAGAAGGAGGAGGAAGAGGAAGAGGAAGAGCAACCGCAGCCAGAAUCGUUCAUCUUCUCUGCUCU